CUCGAUGACGCUGUAGCUCUCCACGUAAUCGACGUGUUCGUCCUGCGGCUCGCUGGCGAUCUGCCGCAGCGUGGCCUUGUCCACGCUGCCCACUCCGAUGGCGAACAGCUCGACGCCGCUGGCCCGGGCCCGCGCAGACACGUCCUGCACGCUGUCCUGGGGCCUCCCGUCUGUCACCACGAUGACCACCUGCGACACGCGGGGCGGUGUGACACCGGGCUCCCGGAAGCCCACGGGACUGUCCAGGAGAGGAGGCUGAGGCCCGGAGAGGCGGGAGGACUGCCGGGUCGCACAGCCAGGCGGCACCCGGGGGAAGAGGACCCGGCUGGCCGAAGAGGAGACCCGUUUCCUCUGACUGAGAGACGUGGCUGGGGGGCUUUCCAUCUGCUUCGCCUCCCUCGGGCAGGCAGCUCUGAGAUGCCCGGAGGGAUGUGAUGCCCCAUCGCCAAAUUGGGGUCUCUAAGCUAUGAAAUGGCCACCUCACGGGGCAUCAUGGGAAUCAAAGUGUCUGCAGGCAAAGCUCAUAACUCCGAGCGGGAGCCUCCAAACAGCAGCAUCCUAGCAGGGUGGCGUGCACGUACCUUGCUGAUGUCAGGGGACCUGGAACGACCACCCUCUGCAUCGCCGAAGGCUUUGGUGAUAGCGAACUGGAUGGCCAGGCCGGUCAUGGUGCCUGUGGACAGCGGCUGGAUACGGCGCACAGCCUGCAGCAGUGCGGCCUUGGAGACAUGAGCCCGCAGCGAGAACUCCUGCUUCACGGUGCUGGCAUAGUUGACCAUGCCCACCCGGGUGGCAUUGGGCCCCACGUCCAGCGACUCGAUGACCUGGGACAGGAAUACCUUCACUUUCUCAAAUUCAACAGGCCGAACGCUGCGAGAGCUGUCGACAACAAACACCAGGUCUGUGGGCCGCGUCCGGCAGAGAUGGCCUGGGAGUGGGGCAGGAGGGGUAAGGCAGAGAGCAGAGACACAGGUCAGGGACUGGGCCUGAACACACAGAGUGCGGCUUCUUAGAUCCAGGUGCGAGGCCUCGGGCCCAGUAGGCUGCAAACUUCAGCUGGGCAGCUGAGCCCUUUUAUCAACAUGCAGACACCAGCAAGCAACUUGCCAAAGGCCCCCUGCUCAGCCCAUGGGGAACACAGAGGGCCAAGCCUGGCCUUGGGCCAUUUGCUUCACUUCUCUGAGCCUCAGUUUCCUCAUCUGAGCAGUGAGCUAGCAAUCCCUCCUUACAGGAUGUUUUGAGGAGCCAGCAGGGGGCCAGGCAAGCAAUGAGUAUUCCAGGGGUGGCAAAGGACCCUGCGGCCUUGAAAACACAUUUAGGUUUCAGCCCAGACUUGCUGCCAGAAACAAGGGCAGCUAUUUCUUCUAGCUGGGCAGGAGGGCACCAAGGAUGGGCCCUCCAGGCAUGGGCACAGGCUUGAGAGCCAAAGCAGUGCCCGUCAACAUGGCCUCUUUCAUCUGAGCAUCAAAGCAAAUCACCAAAGUGGAACCAGUUUCCCUCAGCCUGGCAGCGCCUGCUGGCGGGUUGCCAAAGACAGGGAAAAGGAGCAGGAAUUCCUGGUGGCCACCUCGGCAGCCUGAUCAGGUGCACACCAAGACACACCCCCGAGGAGCAAUGUCCUCCAGAGACCCAAGAAGGCAGCACCCUGUGCUGGGAAGUAUGCAGGGUCAGAGUGAGUUCAGGCCUGGGUUCAAAUCCUGGCUCAGCCACUCUGUGGGGCCCUGGGCAGAUCAUUGCACCUUUCUGAGCCUCCGUGAUCUCACAUGUCCAGUGGAGAGAAUAAGGCUACUGUCACUGGCCUGGGCCUGCAGUCAGGAAGGUCUCACUACAAAGGCCCUUCCCUCCCCAUCCCAUGCGGAGUCUGAACUGAGCAGAGCCAAUCCCAAAGAGGAAAGGGGAAACGUGCAGGGCCGUCCCAACCCCCAAGUCACAGUAACUCACAGUGCCCUAGACUGGGGCUCUGGACAUCAGAGUUCCUCAGGAGACCUUAGAAAUCACCAUGCAGCAGGCUCCCUGCUGUCUACUCGCUAAGGCUACAAAUGGGUAAACUGAGACCCAAAGAGGGAAAGGGAAUUGGCCACACCGUACAGCAGUAGAUCAAUAACCUAGAGGCUCUGGCGCUAUCUCACUGUGUGGUCUUAGGCCCUCACUGACCUCAGUUUCCCCAUCUGUACAGGAAGAAUGGGCAUUCCAGGACUCAGUGCCCAAACCUGAAACUCUGGGGGGUGUUAUUGCCCCCAGGGAGCCCAAGGCUGGAAGGACCUGCAAAGGGGGCAUGAGCUCUUGGCAUCCCAGGUCUGCUGUCAUCAAAGAGCCAUGGGCUCAGCCCUGGGCUUGGUGCAGCUCCAGACGUCAGCCAGCUCUCUGAGUAGCUUCUGCUCCCCAGAGACCUGGAAGACCAAGGUCCCUGCCUCAUGCAUGGUCCCUGAGGGCUGAGGAGCACCCCUGCCCUGACCCUUAUAAGCACCAUGGUCCCUGUCUGCUCCUGCACCAGCCCACUGCCCACCACUGCCGCCCUGCUCCCUUCCCCAUCCUGGAUCCCGUGUGCUCCCUGCCAUAUCGGUACCCAGCCCCCAGUGCUGAGGGUCAGGGCCCACUAGCUCAGUAGCCCCCAUCUCACGCAAGCCCCCUCACCUCUGGACUGGGGGGCGAGGCCAGGGCUGCACAGGGCCUGGAGCAGCAGCAGCAGGCUGCAGAGCAUGAGGCUAGUGCCAGAGAGGACCCUCAUAGUUCUGGCAGCACGGGCAGCAGCCGGCACGGUUGUGGGACCAGUGGGGUCCAGGUCUUAUCAACCCCACUGCCCGCCCAGCCUUUGGGUCAGGUGGCCCCCAACUGACGACUGACGUGGGGGCAGCCCGCCCUGGCCCCCAGCCCCCCCAAAGGGCGGGGCUUGGGCUGAAUGGAGGUGUGUGUGCCCUGAGAGGGCGGGAGAGCCUGGCCCAGGCUUCAGAGGCCCCUCUGACCACAAGGGCUCCUUUGCUUGCAGAAGCAACUAGAGCGGCAGCUGGAAUUUGGGAAAUCUCAGGUGGGUGGGGGGUGGCUCUUCCAGGGGCUGGAGCCCGCGCUGCCUUGAAGCUCCACCCCAAGCCUAGGCAUACCUGAGUCCAAUGGCCCGGCCCAGCCCUGUCCUGCACCUUCAUCCCACACCCAAAUCCUUCCCCCACUCACAACCCCAAGUUUCUCAUUAAAUUCACUUCCCCUUCCCCAGCCUCACUGUGCCCUGCUCUCCGCACACGCCCUGCUCUCCAGCUACCCCUGGAUUCUCCUCGAAGGCCUCCAGGCCAUCACACAUGCAGGGCCAUCUGCCCAGAAUCCUUUCCUCUCACUAACUCUCUGCCUUGUAGAAUCUUUCAAGGUCAUAAUUAGGGCUAACAUGUACCUUCACUGUUAGUAUGGGCAGGGCAGUGGAGACCAUGGUUAAGAGCACAGACUUGGGAGCCAGGUUACCUGGGUUUGCUAUACCAGCAAACCACCUGUGUGACCAUGGGCAAGUGACUUCACCUCUCAUGUCUCAGAUUGCUCAUCUGGAAACUAGGGAUGGUAAUAGCGCCUCCUAGGGUUGAUUCAAGGAGCAAAGGAGUUAGAUGAGGUUUCUCAGUUAAUCCUCUUGACAACUUUUUAAAGCAGCUACUGUUAAAGAACAGAGAGGUAAAAUAACUUGUCUGAAGUUACACAGCUAAGAAGUGUUAUUGCCAGGAUAGAGCCCCAGGCCCGGCUCUCAGCCAUGCUGCUGUCUCAGUGUAGCUUGAUGUAGGUGGCUUCUCCCUGCCCAUCUCUUCCCCCUGUGGGUCCCUGCUUGGCCCACCUCACCUGUCAGCCAGUGGAUUCAACUCUGCAUCAGGCCCAGCACAGAGAAGGCAAAGAUAAAGCCUUCUAAACAAAGUAACAUCAGCAGGAACGAUCCCCUUCUUUGCAUUUGGGUCAAGUAGUUCAUGAGAUAGAGCAGAAAGAGCAUGGGCUUGGCUACCUGAGAGAUCCAGGUUCAAAGCCACUUCUGCUCCUAACUGGCUGUGUGACCUGGAGCUGGUGACUUAACCUCUCUGAGCCUCAGCUUGCCAUGGUGCAGUGGGAAUGGUCGUUCUUGAUCUGCCUGCCCCAUGUGAGGGGCAAGAGGGGGACAGAAGUGGAAAUGGAGUUAAAGGAUUGUCAUUGCUCCAGGAGGCAGAAUCCUAAGACUUGGGACCUAUGCACUUCACUCUGUGUAAAUUAUACCUCAAUAAAAGGAAAUGUACAGACAAAAAGCGACUGCUGGGUGCAGCAGACCCAACUCACCGCUACCACACUCUUUAGCAAUAAUUAUAACAAUCCCUUCCACCCUUGACAUGGCAGUUACUCAUUCUAUCACUCUAUCUCAUUUGCUCACCCAACAAACCUGUGAAGUCAGCAGAUUUGAGUCUCUUGGCCCAUUUGUCAGAUGGAGAAACUGAGGCCCAGAGAGGUUCACUGACUUACCCGAAGCCACCAGCCAGUUUAGGGGCAGAGCCAAGCCUAAAGCUCAGGCCUCACUCCCCUUUGCACCAGUGUUAGAGAAGGAGGAGGUUAAGAGCAUUGCCUUCUGACUUUUUCCCCUUAUAUUUCAUGUGUGCCUAAUUCACUGCCCUCCCCAAUUCCAAAAACCACUUGAAGCUGCUGAUUCCUUUUUCUGCUACAACUUUGAAGUCGAAUUCUUCUCCAGAGAUGCUGCAAGGUGUGAUGAUGGUGGUGCCUCUCCCUUCCCAAAAUGGUGUAAUUAAGGUGUUACCUGUCUCCCCAAGGACGUGAGCUCCCUCCGAGCAGGGGGCUUGCCCGUCUCAGUCACCACUGAAUCCCUGGGACCCAGCAUGGUGCCUGGCACAGGAUCUCUGGUAAGCAAAUGAAGGAAUGAAUGAAAACUAACUACGAACCUGUUCCAUUUCCCUAUAAACCACCCAGGGUCACACAAGGGCCAUCCACGGUGACCAGCGGUGAGAAACGCAAUGCUGUCCUCGUGCCAUGCUGGAGGUGAACGAGGAGAACGUGAGCUGGGGUCUCCUCACCAACUGCUCCCCCCACCCCAACCCCCCUGACGGCCAGGGCUGUGUCCAGGGCUCAGGGCACAAGGCUCCGUUAGCUGGGCAGCAGCUGGCCCAUGAAACAGCCCUUUCAGCUCCACCUCUGAAUGGCAGUUCUAUGGGCUCCUCGGAAGAACACAGGCGCCUUCUCUGUGUCACUUCUCCGCUCAUUAGCAGAGCUGCAGAAAUACACUACAGGACUCAAAAUUGAGAACAGUGUGUCCGGUAUGAGCCAGAAGGAAAAAAAAAUGCACGAAGGGGCCUUCUGCAAGGUUGCUCACAAGUCAAACAGGCAGCUGUGAAGGGCUCUGCUGUUCCCUCCUCCUGUUUUCACAUCCCUCGGGCUUCCAGAAACUUAAAGCCGUUAGUGUUUCAUGCAAGAGAGAGCAUCUGUGAUCCACGGAGAGGCCCCUGGGCAGUGUGGUUCAGUGGGAAGCACACAGGACUCCCUCCCCAGUGCUCCCAGGAUCAGCUCUUUCCCUAAAGAGCAAACCUGGUUAUCUCGCAAUGACCUAGCUAACACAAAUGCAACAUCAGCCGGGGCAGCCUGCCCCCUUCACUCUUUGCCCACCAUCAGCUGUUUGGCAGUAUCCAUAUACGCCUUUACCAGUAUUUAUUUAAUCUUUUUGUUUAAUUCACUCUAAACCAACUCACUUCUUAAAAAUUUCUCUGCCUUAUAAGAAAUAAUAGCCAUGAAAUCACUGGUUUGAUGUACGGUUUAUUUAUUUAUUCCAAUAAACACUCAUUCAAUAUAAAAUUCAAAUAAAUUCAAAACUAAUUAAAUUUAGCUUUUUCAUCCACAUAUCACUGAAAAUUUUCUUGUUUUCUGCCAGUGGCAUGCACGACAGACUUUGAGGAAUCCUGUGAAGUGAAACGGCUUUAGAAUCAAAGAGAGCUGGGCUUGAGUCCCCCUCUGUCACAGGCCAGCCAUGGUGACUUCCGGGAAAUGUGAAACCCUGAAGCUCAGACUCUGAAGGAAACUCAAAGGUCAUCUACACCUGGCCACCCAUGCUACUCACCUGGUUGUUAAAAAUACAAGGUCCACCCCUGCUACGUGCCUUCUCGGGGCCAGAGGGUCAGCCCUCACCCCAGGAGCGACUGCGAGAGCUUCCCACGGGGAAUGGCCCCUGUAAUCAAUCACACUGGAAGAAGAAAUGAGCAUCUGGAGGAGCGGGCUCAGGUUUAGCACUGGGAACUCUAGCUGGCCCAGUUAAUGCCCCAACCCAUGGCCCUUCAGCCCACUGUGGGUUCAGCUCACCUACAGCUGCAGGCAGUUCCCAGGGACGCAAGCAGUGGGCCAGGCAGCCUGGGGAUUUAACAUCCCCAGGUAUAACCCGCAACCUGCAGGGAUCAGAAGACCCCAACGUCCCCAUCCCCCAUUGAACAGUUCUGAGACACGCUCCUCGCCGUUCCUCAGAAGGUCCCCAGCAGGAGUGAGCCGCGGUUGCCCACAGAGGUGACCAGCUUAUUCAUGCACAUUGUAUUGGCUUUUAUCCUGUCCCCACCUCACUUCCCCUCACUGUAUUUCCUGGGAUCACCUCCCAAAUAAGCUACCUGCACCCAAGUCCUUUUCUCAGGAUACCCGGUCACAUCUCCAGGCCUUGGCCCAGCUGUUUUCCAGCCUCGCAUGUCCUCCCAGCACAUAGAGCAGAGGAAGCAGCAGGCGAGUGUUCUGUUCGACUAUCUGGGCCACUGAGAUGGCAGCAAAAUUGUUUCCCAGGUGGAUGUUGUUUAUUUAUUUAGAACUGUGGCUCCCUCGUGCCAGCAGCUCUCUGCUAUGCCCACUGACCAUCGGCGUGCUCUUGGUGGCUAAUUAGGGAGACUUCUUCCUGGGACCCGGGAGACAGACUGGAAUGUGAGCACUGGUUCCCAGAGAGCCCAUCCGGGAGGGCAGCGGGCAAGGCCUGUGGCUGCAGAGACACACAGUGGCUGCUGCUUAUACCCUCCGCAGAGGCCCUGCUGCCACCCAAAGACCCAAGGAGAACCCGAGGGUGGGUCCUGCCCCUGACUUCCUUUAACCUGACUGCUUUUCUUGACACUUAAACGGUUUCAUUGCAAAUUGGAGACACUGCCAGAGUACCGGAUUGGACAUGAAUCUCUGGUCUUCCCAAAAGUCAGGCAGAGAUGUGGAGGGGCCCACAGUCACAGGGCAGAUUCCUCACCUGCAAAGUGGCCAUGCUCAUCGCCCCAUCCAGGAGCCUGCAGUGCAGCUGGGCUGCUCCUCCUGCCCAGGCCCCAUUCGGGCCACAGACCCCAUGAUCUGAGGUGUCACAUGUGGUUCAUGACACCUCCCAUGUGCUAUCUUGGUCUCAGGCCCCACGCAUGGUCAGCCAAACUGGAAUCCAGGGUGAGGAGGCGUGUGCUUUCAUCUGCCGGCCUGUCUGGGGAGGCCACGGAGCAGCAGCACAUCCUUCUGAUGGGUUAACACCUGGGUGAUACCAGCCCAACCUGAUAUCCCACCCACAUGUCCAAAGAUAGCACUCACAUCUCAACCUGCCUCCCUCCUCGCUCUCCUAAACUCCAGACCUAGAGACCCAGCUGCUUCCUGAGCACCUCCCAUUAUAUGUCCCCCAAGGAAGCGCAAAUCUAGCCCCACCAAAACGCGAUGCAUCCUUUGCCAUCCCCCGUUUCGCAUCCUCUGCUCAGAGCUGGGCACCACCAUCCGAGGGUCCGCAACAUCCAAAAGCUCCCUGCUGCCUCUGAGGCCUCCUGCUUCUGCCAGGGCCCUCCCAAGAGGGCUCAGAGCCUGGAAUAGGAAUUAAAUGAGGGCCUUGUGAGGUAGAAAUUCCCAGAGGAAGGGCGAGGUUACCCAGAAAGGUCUAGAGAGACAAGCUCAGGUCCAUUUGGGUGGACUGAAGUCCAAGCCCAGGUCUGCCCCUUGGCCAAUGCGUGACUGUGGGCAGAGGCAGCCCCUCCCUGAACCUCAGGAAUGAUCACCACCCAGCACCUGCUGCGUGAGGCCACUGGGAGCUUUGUGGAGCCAGCACACUGAAGGGCCCACUCAAUUACGGGGACCCUUCCUGCUACCAUCACAGCUCCCGAGAAACCUGAAGUUGCCCCGCUUAGCACCCCAGGUUUAAUUUUACCAGCUCUUUUUUCCCUCCAAGAGACAACCACUCCAGGCUGCCCUCACCUGCCCAGGCCUGGAAGCAGCCCCCUCUGUCCUGGGGCCGGCUCCUUUCCAGGCAUGAAGCUCAAACAGGCGCUGUCAGUGGGUCCAAACCAUCGCAGCCCCGUCAAAGGACCCCUGUGUGAGCCUCAAACGGGGCAUUGAUAGGGCCUCAGUGAGGGCUGCCCAGGCGAUCGUGGGCUCGCUUGGCUUGGCUAGCCAUGCGGACUUCCCCAAACCCAGCUAUUUCCUGUCCCUCGGGUGGCCCCCUCCCAGCUGCCUGGCCACAGGGCACAAUCCCACUACACAGCUCAGCCUGUUCUUCGGCUCCAGGCCAGAGGUGGGAGUCGGGGAAGGCGGGAAGGACGGGAGAGUCGCGCCGGGAAGUUCAGGGCCUCCUGGUCCUUGUGACACACGCAGCCAUGGCCCUUCAAUCUCCUUGUGAUAGGAUGCAAGGCUGGGCCAAUGUCUCUCCUCCCGUGACCUCUGCUCCCAAUCCACACUUGCCGGGGCUUCUCAGCGGGCCCUCUUCCCAUGGGUCUUUGCAAGAAGCAACAACUGACACAGACUGGGCCCCAGCCCGUCUAAAAGCCUCCACUCGGAGUAGAAAAAAAAGGUGCUUGGUCUCAUCUCUGACCACUGUGUGGCCUCAGGAAAGUCACUUGAUGUCUCUGGGCCUCUGCCCUCAAGUGUGAACAGGAGCUCGCUUUCCAUUUCUGUGAAUUACACUGCACCAACUGCUUGGGGGUCUGAUAAGGAGCAAAUAACAUCCAUGAAGAAAUCUGCCAUUCCACAAAAAAACUGACACCACCAGAAGGUUGACAAUGCCUCUCAAACUCAUCCCCGUCCCUGCCGCCCCAUAGGAUGACUUCCCCAGCCUUUGUAGGGGUCCCUGCAUUUGGGCUCUUCCUUCCUAAAACCCAAACCUUGUAACUCCUUGGCCCAAAAUCCUUCAAAGACACCUGUCUCAGGAUUAGUCCAUGUUCCUCGGUGUGACAUUCAAGGCUCUGAGGGCUCUUUUGGUAUUGGUGACAGAUCCCAAUUCAAACAGCCCUGGUCUCUUUAUUAACUUUACUUUCAGGUAAGUCCUCAACAGCUCAGCCACACCGGGGAGAAAAGAUAAGAGAUGGAGAAACAGAGAGACAUUAUUAAAGAGUUGUAGUCCUGGAUCCUGCCAUACCUGAAGCCAAAAAUCCCUGGAUUUUUUAUUUGUAUGAGAGCCAAGAAACAUCGUGAACCACCUUCUGGUUUCUCAUAAUAAACUUGGCUCAUAAGGCUUCUGUUACUUGCAACCAUGUCCUUCCUGUAAAUUCCCUUCUUGGCUGAACUUAGCCAGGGUGAGCUUGCACCUAAAGAGCCCCACUGUGUGCAAACACUCUUCCUGACCCAGCCCCACAGCGGGCCGACCUCUUCUCCCUCCCCUCCCCACUUGCAGCCACGCUGAGCAGCUCGCCCCAGCUCCUCUCCCCAAUGCCAUAGAGUCUUUGCGUGUCCUGCUACCUAGACCUAGAGCACCCUUCCCAUUCUGCUUACUGCUGCCUUCUCAUCCUUCAGACUCCACUUGGUGACAGCCUCCAAGAGGCUUUCUCUGGCCCUCAGGCCACGUCUGAGGUCCCCUAGGCUUUCCCUAUCGUGGCAGCCCUUUUGCAGAUCUGUCCCUCCUACCGCAGACUGGGGGGAACUGGAGGCGAGUCUCAUCUGUUGAGGUCUUCCCCAGUGUCCAGAGCAGGACCCAG
rnacentral:lncRNA from 1 species